rnacentral:snoRNA from 1 species
UUGUGCUGGUGAUGAUUAAAAAGCUAGCGAUGGUGAAUUCGAUGAAUUUGUUCGUGUGCCGCUGGGUGCGCAGCAGUGGUGAUAUGCAUUCUUACGUAGUUCACCUGACGCACGC